GAUGAACGCUCGCUACAGGCUUAACACAUGCAAGUCGCGGGGCAGCAUGGGGGUUGCUUGCAACUCCCGAUGGCGACCGGCGCACGGGUGAGUAACGCGUAUCCAACCUGCCCUUCACCACGGGAUAACCCGGCGAAAGUCGGACUAAUACCGUAUGUUGUCCAUUGACGGCAUCCGAUUUGGACGAAAGGCUUUGCGGUGAAGGAUGGGGAUGCGUCCGAUUAGCCAGACGGCGGGGUAACGGCCCACCGUGGCUACGAUCGGUAGGGGUUCUGAGAGGAAGGUCCCCCACACUGGAACUGAGACACGGUCCAGACUCCUACGGGAGGCAGCAGUGAGGAAUAUUGGUCAAUGGGCGUAAGCCUGAACCAGCCAAGUAGCGUGCAGGAUGACGGCCCUAUGGGUUGUAAACUGCUUUUAUGCGGGGAUAAAGUGGCCCACGUGUGGGCUUUUGCAGGUACCGCAUGAAUAAGGACCGGCUAAUUCCGUG
rnacentral:rRNA from 1 species